rnacentral:rRNA from 1 species
CAGCCGCCGCGGGAAUACGUAGGUGGCAAGCGUUGUCCGGAAUUAUUGGGCGUAAAGGGCUCGCAGGCGGUUUCUAAAGUCUGAUGUGAAAGCCCCCGGCUCAACCGGGGAGGGUCAUUGGAAACUGGGAAAUUUGAGUGCAGGAGAGGAGAGUGGAAUUCCACGUGUAGCGGUGAAAUGCGCAGAGAUGUGGAGGAACACCAGUGGCGAAGGCGACUCUCUGGUCUGUAACUGACGCUGAGGAGCGAAAGCGUGGGGAGCGAACAGGAUUAGAUACCCGAGUAGUCCCUGUCUCUUAUAC